rnacentral:rRNA from 1 species
GAUGAACGCUGGCGGCGUGCCUAAUACAUGCAAGUCGAGCGAACAGACGAGGAGCUUGCUCCUCUGACGUUAGCGGCGGACGGGUGAGUAACACGUGGAUAACCUACCUAUAAGACUGGGAUAACUUCGGGAAACCGGAGCUAAUACCGGAUAAUAUAUUGAACCGCAUGGUUCAAUAGUGACAGACGGUUUUGCUGUCACUUAUAGAUGGAUCCGCGCCGCAUUAGCUAGUUGGUAAGGUAACGGCUUACCAAGGCAACGAUGCGUAGCCGACCUGAGAGGGUGAUCGGCCACACUGGAACUGAGACACGGUCCAGACUCCUACGGGAGGCAGCAGUAGGGAAUCUUCCGCAAUGGGCGAAAGCCUGACGGAGCAACGCCGCGUGAGUGAUGAAGGUCUUCGGAUCGUAAAACUCUGUUAUUAGGGAAGAACAAAAGUGUAAGUAACUAUGCACGUCUUGACGGUACCUAAUCAGAAAGCCACGGCUAACUACGUG